rnacentral:misc_RNA from 1 species
GAUGAAGAACGCAGCGAAAUGCGAUACGUAAUGUGAAUUGCAGAAUUCAGUGAAUCAUCGAAUCUUUGAACGCACAUUGCGCCCCCUGGUAUUCCGGGGGGCAUGCCUGUCCGAGCGUCAUUACAACCCUCAAGCUCAGCUUGGUAUUGGGCCCCGCCGACCCGGCGGGCCCUAAAGUCAGUGGCGGUGCCGUCCGGCUCCGAGCGUAGUAAUUCUUCUCGCUCUGGAGGUCCGGUCGUGUGCUCGCCAGCAACCCCCAAUUUUUUUCAGGUUGACCUCGGAUCAGGUAGGGAUACCCGCUGAACUUAAGCAUAUCAAUAACGGAGGA